GAGGGUGAACCGAAGUGGCCGAGGGGCCAGGCUGUGACCCUGGCUGUAGCGGGUUCGAGUCCCGUCACCCUCC
rnacentral:tRNA from 1 species